rnacentral:rRNA from 1 species
UACGUAGGUGGCAAGCGUUGUCCGGAUUUACUGGGUGUAAAGGGCGUGCAGCCGGGCUGACAAGUCAGAUGUGAAAUCCCGCGGCUCAACCGCGGAACUGCAUUUGAAACUGUCAGUCUUGAGUACCGGAGAGGUCAUCGGAAUUCCUUGUGUAGCGGUGAAAUGCGUAGAUAUAAGGAAGAACACCAGUGGCGAAGACGGAUGACUGGACGGCAACUGACGGUGAGGCGCGAAAGCGUGGGGAGCAAACAGG